GAUGAACGCUGGCGGCGUGCCUAAUACAUGCAAGUCGAGCGAACAGAUGAGGAGCUUGCUCCUCUGACGUUAGCGGCGGACGGGUGAGUAACACGUGGAUAACCUACCUAUAAGACUGGGAUAACUUCGGGAAACCGGAGCUAAUACCGGAUAAUAUAUUGAACCGCAUGGUUCAAUAGUGAAAGACGGUUUUGCUGUCACUUAUAGAUGGAUCCGCGCCGCAUUAGCUAGUUGGUAAGGUAACGGCUUACCAAGGCAACGAUGCGUAGCCGACCUGAGAGGGUGAUCGGACACACUGGAACUGAGACACGGUCCAGACUCCUACGGGAGGCAGCAGUAGGGAAUCUUCCGCAAUGGGCGAAAGCCUGACGGAGCAACGCCGCGUGAGUGAUGAAGGUCUUCGGAUCGUAAAACUCUGUUAUUAGGGAAGAACAAAUGUGUAAGUAACUAUGCACGUCUUGACGGUACCUAAUCAGAAAGCCACGGCUAAAUACGUG
rnacentral:rRNA from 1 species